rnacentral:rRNA from 1 species
AGAUUGAACGCUAGCGGGAUGCUUACACAUGCAAGUCGAACGGCAGCGCGGACUUCGGUCUGGCGGCGAGUGGCGAACGGGUGAGUAAUAUAUCGGAACGUGCCCAGUAGCGGGGGGAUAACUACGCGAAAGCGUGGCUAAUACCGCAUACGCCCUACGGGGGAAAGGGGGGGAUUCUUCGGAACCUCUCACUAUUGGAGCGGCCGAUAUCAGAUUAGCUAGUUGGUGAGGUAAGGCUCACCAAGGCCGCGAUCUGUAGCUGGUUUGAGAGGACGACCAGCCACACGUGGGACUGAGACACGGCCCAGACUCCUACGGGAGGCAGCAGGUGGGAAUUUGGACAAGUGGGGGAAACCCUGAUACCAGCCACUCCCGCGUGGUGCGAUGGAACGGUCCGUUACGGGUUAGUAAACGC